rnacentral:rRNA from 1 species
AUUGAGCGCUGGCGGCAUGCUUUACACAUGCAAGUCGAACGGUAACAGGGUGCUUGCACCGCUGACGAGUGGCGAACGGGUGAGUAAUGCGUCGGAACGUGCCGAGUAGUGGGGGAUAACGCAGCGAAAGUUGUGCUAAUACCGCAUACGUACUGAGGUAGAAAGUGGGGGACCUUCGGGCCUCACGCUAUUCGAGCGGCCGACGUCUGAUUAGCUAGUAGGUGAGGUAAAGGCUCACCUAGGCGACGAUCAGUAGCGGGUCUGAGAGGAUGAUCCGCCACACUGGGACUGAGAAACGGCCCAGACUCCUGCGGGAGGCAGCAGUGGGGAAUUUUGGACAAUGGGCGAAAGCCUGAUCCAGCCAUGCCGCGUGUCUGAAGAAGGCCUUCGGGUUGUAAAGGACUUUUGUCAGGGAGGAAAUCCCUAGUGCUAAUAACACUGGGGGAUGACAGUACCUGAAGAAUAAGCACCGGCUAACUACGUGCCAGCAGCCGCAGUAA